GGACUAGAGACUCCGAGUGUUCAGAAGGAAGGAGCUGUUUCUUGUUGCUGAGAGGUUGAGUAAGAUAAAGAUGGAGAAGAAGCCACUGGAAAUGGCAUCAUGAUUGGUGAUCUCUACCACAGCAGAUUGGGGUGUGGGGGCUGGGCACGCUGGAUUGAAAGCCAUCAGAAUGGGCUGAGGAAUGCAUGGGGUGAGGUAGUACAGGCACCAAGUGUGAAUACCUCUAUGUUCUGCUAUCAAAGGAAGAGAGAAACUGUGUCGGAGGGGGUUAUAGAGUUAAAUAAGACAGCACAUUGCUUUCUGUUUUUAAUGGCGGACAUUGCUGAUGGUUUCAUAGAAAGAUGCAGGAGGAAAAAUGGAUACCCAAGGGAAUGAAGUCUUGAGAAAGCAAGAAGCAAUGAGACCCAAAGUCAAAUGAAGAGACUGUCCUGCUAGGAGCAGGGACACGUGUAUUGUAAUAGGAAGAAAUAUGUGUGUAAGUGAAGGCAGAGUUGAUUUUCUCAAGAGUGAGGCUGAGAACAAGGAGUGUAGUUAUGUUUGAGGAAACAAUGUUUGAGAAGUCAUAUUAUUUGUGGAGAUACACUAUUUUGUUUCAUUUCCUCUAACAAGUGUCAUUGGCAUAGUCAUAGCCCCUAAAUAUCUAAAAAUUAAUUCCACUUUAACCACCUCCCCUAGUUCAGUGAUAGAUAAUUUUAAGUGAAAAUAACCAUGCAAAUAGCCA
rnacentral:lncRNA from 1 species